ANANAACGNCUUCCUGCNGUCGACGAUUCCUACGGGAGGCAGCAGUGGGGAAUAUUGGACAAUGGGCGAAAGCCUGAUCCAGCAAUGCCGCGUGAGUGAAGAAGGCCUUAGGGUUGUAAAGCUCUUUCACCCGCGACGAUGAUGACGGUAGCGGGAGAAGAAGCCCCGGCUAAUUCCGUGCCAGCAGCCGCGGUAAUACGGAAGGGGCUAGCGUUGUUCGGAAUCACUGGGCGUAAAGCGCGCGUAGGCGGCCGGUCAAGUGCGGCGUGAAAGUCCUGGGCUCAACCCGGGGACGGCGCUGCGGACUGUCCGGCUGGAGUCCGGAAGAGGGUGGUGGAAUUCCGAGUGUAGAGGUGAAAUUCGUAGAUAUUCGGAGGAACACCGGUGGCGAAGGCGGCCACCUGGUCCGGUACUGACGCUCAAGCGCGAAAGCGUGGGGAGCAAACAGGAUUAGAUACCCUGGUAGUCCACGCCGUAAACGAUGGGUGCUAGAUGUCGGGGGGCUUGCCCUUCGGUGUCGUAGCUAACGCGUUAAGCACCCCGCCUGGGGAGUACGGCCGCAAGGUUAAAACUCAAAGGAAUUGACGG
rnacentral:rRNA from 1 species